UAAAGCAAUACAUGUUGCAGUGUCACCUAAUACCUUUUAAUGUAAGCACAUAAUGCUGAACAACUUUUUUAUGUGCUUUAUUUCUGUUUCAGUUCCUGGAUGCGCUAAAAGUGCAGACCGUAUCUUAAUCGGUGUUUUACAGACAUCAGAAAACGGUCCCGCUUCCAACCAUAUACUAGCAGUGGAAGUCAGAGUCGUCCAGCAGUAUGUCCGCGGAACCUUUGGAUCUUGGAGGGGAUAUGACAGCAGACUAGCCAGGCCACUGUGCAAAAUUUGCGCAAAGAGGUUGGCAAUAGUCCGAGAAUGGAGAAGGAGGGACUGCUGAGGAGCAUUGUUUUUGGAGGAGGCAGAUGUCAGCAUCGGCUCCAUUAUCACAGAUCAACACUUCUCAAUCCAGAAGUUCCUGAGUGACGAGAUGCCUGACAUUAAGCACUACUACGAUGGGUGCCAUGUGGCAAAAUGUAUGUAGUUGUUCAAUUUUCAUGUUUCAGUAAGUGUGGGUAUGAGGGGGUGACUGCACAGGCAACAAGUAUGUGUAAUACUCUGUCUGUUAUUUAGCGUCUAUCCAGCCGUGUGGGAAAACUUGAUGCCCUUGGGAAGGAGAGAAACUGUCAGACGGUUACUGGCUGGCGGAGGUCAAUGUGAAUGUUAAACAUAAUUGUAAUGUUCACUUACAUGUCUGACAUGUUGUCUUACAGACUUCUCCUUGCAGCCAUUCACUACAACGAGAAUGCAGACAGGUAACCACUGCAGCCGGAGAACCCAGGUUCAUGAUUCGGUUCCCUAAGUGGAAGAAAGGAGGCUAUUCCAUCCAAAUGUAUGGUAAUUAUUCCCCCCAUUGCUUUAGCAGUGGUUAUUACUCAAAUGUUAUAACUGCCUGUAUAUGUCAUUUAUUUUUCAAAGCUAUGUCCACUAACUCCUGGAGCUACUGUUCCAGGAUGUAGUGGGAGAUCCAGGGCCAUACCAACAGCUGCUGGAAAGCGUGACUAUCUUCUUUGAAUACGACAGAGAAGAGUGACACCGUGGCCAUACACUAGUCUUGCUUUGCCUCUCUGGAGAAUGCUUGAGAACACUGCGCUGUGUGAUGACCGGAGACUGGAUGAGAAAGCAGUUGCAGCCGUCAACACAGUAAAUGUGUUCUACCACGGCACACUGAAGUACUGUGCCCAGAGUGUAGUCUACACAUUCAUUCAAGUAUAGUGAAGGACUGCUGUGCUGCGUGAGAUCAGAUGGACAGAUGCUGAGGCAGUGGUUAUAUUGCAAUAAAGAAGUGGAAUAAAAUGUAUUCCAAUCUACAAAAAGCCUACAGGUGUAAUCUACUCCACUAUUAUUUUGCUCAGAGUUAUAUUUCCCAAUUGACUUGGGGUUAAUUGAUAUUUCAAGUUACUAUAGGGAUGUCCAGUSCCCCUAUGAUUAGAACCMUGCCUGUGCUYUAACACAGCAUACUUUUCAUUUACCUACCCAUGUAUUUCAGCAUCCAUGUCCCCAUGUUCUUGACUGUAAGCAUUGGAUAUGGCAUGUAGGCCAUAUGGGUUGAGACAUACAGGGCAAAACCUGGGUGGUCAGUAGCAUGCCACCAUCACAUGUUAAUGUACUUGGCCCAUCACCUGUACAGUGCAUACAUACGAUCCUAUUAAAUUCCUA